AGUUAUUUAGCUUAUUUUUAAAGCAUUUACUUUGAAAGUAAAAAAAAGAUUAAUAUUUAAUAACUU
rnacentral:tRNA from 1 species